GUCUUAACCGGUCUUGAUUAUUUAAUCAACCUCGCAUCACUCGUGAUAAACUCUCAACCAGAAUCCCGUCUACUCAAGCAUAGCAAUAUGAAAUUUGUCGUCCCGGGACAAGUAACGGGGUUGUUGGUGCCUACCACAUGAUACUACAAUAUGUAGCCAUAAUUUUCAAAUACCUACUCAGCAUGCAAUUGGGCAUAGGAUGGUAGAACUACGAUGCAUAAAACAUAGGUGAUACAUGAUCAAAUGACUUGC
rnacentral:lncRNA from 1 species